GCUCCUAAAAGGCCUCGUGCUAGGUAGGGAUGAGAAUAUACAUUUAAGGAUCACUCCCCUAGGUGAUGUGGGAUGUUACAUGGGUACAUUUUUCAAAACCACAAAAUAAUAAUAAUUGAUAUCAGGCUUGAUAUCAAUAUUAAAUUUAUUCGAUUAAACUUGACAUGCGGAUAUUCUCAUAUCAAUUAUAUAGAAUCUACCCAUAUAAGUUUACAAAAUGAAUUACAAAAAAAAUUGAAUGCAUAUAACAAAUUGAUAUAUUUAAGAAUGAAUACAUUUAACACUAAAAAAUUUAUAUAAAAAAAAAUUAUAUGAAUGGGUACAUUUUAAAUUAAAAAAUUAAAAGUCUUUUCACAAAAAAGUUAAUGGGUAAAAACUUAAUCUAAUUUAUUUAUUUAUUUUGAAUUGAAAAUUAAUUAAGACUUUAAAAAGGGUGUGAGUAUUAAAACCUUAAAUCAAUUACUAGUCUUUAUAAUGUCUCAGCUAAUAAAUAUUAGUAACUAGAAACUGAAUACUAAUUUUUCCUUUUAAGUUCAACUCUUGAGUUCAGUAUUACAAAUGCCAACAUAGUUGUAUAAAGAAAAAAAAAAUCCCCCUCCCCCAAAUCAAGAAAGUGAUAGUAGUUGAAGGCCGUACACAAUUGAGUGG
rnacentral:lncRNA from 1 species